rnacentral:lncRNA from 1 species
CCUCCUGUCCCUAACAGGGCUGUGGGGGUGCAUAUGGGCACUGUAGGGCCUCUCCCCCCAUCCGAUCUAAAAAUAACCAGGCCUUCGAUCUUGCUCAUGUUAGGACGAGAUUCUCCUCCUGUCCCUAACAUAGCUGUGGGGGCGCGUAUGGACGUUGUAGGGCCUCUUCCCCCAUCCGGUCUAAAAAUAAUCGGGCUUUCGACCUUGCUCAUGUUAGGGU